UCAGAACCUUCAUUAUAAAAAAAGUUCUUUCUAUCUAGUCUGAAUCUACCCGUAGUUUAAAACCAUUCCCCCUUUCCCUAUCGCUACAGACCCUGCUAAAAAGUCUGUCCCUCCACCACCCGGCGCCAACUUUAAGCAGGGUGAGAAGAACCUGCGGGGGAAAGCACGCUGGGCUCGGCUGCCACUUCUCACGUUUAAAGGCUCCUGCUCACAUCAGCCAGGUUACAGCUGAUCCAAAAGUCCCCAGAAGAAAGGGAGGGUUUCCUAAGCAGCAUGACUGACAAGACUGUGAAGAGGGAGUUUAUUCAGAGCAUUAUCUAAUUCAUUCCCCGGCGAAGGAAACUCAUCUACUUUUGAGACUUAAAACUUCUAAAGAAAACUGCUAUGAUCUAAAGAGAUUGGCCAUAAAACUAUUUGUAUUGAAAACUUAGCCAGCAUGCCUUUAGUGAACUUCAUUCAUUAACAUUCUUCCUGGCAAGGUUUCCAUAUCUCAGCGUUCAUUUUAUACUUUAAUUUGGUUAGUAGGUCUUUGUUUAAUCGUCCUAUUGAAAGGAGAACAAAGAAGGUUUAGGUGAUACAGUGAAGUAAUACACUAUAUUUUAUCUCUGGAAAGCUCAGACAAAGUCAGCAGGCUCUGAUACCCUCCGAUUCGGGGUUUUUUUUUUAUCCCCUUUCUCUUCCAGGACAUUUGGAAUCACAAAUCAGUUGCGGAGCAUAAAGAUCCUCACUGUACUUAGCUGCGGACACCUUCAGAAGAGAAACACCUUGUCAAGCAGAGAAAUGAUGCUUUGAGCACGACAUACAGCCCCAAAGGAAGAUUAUCUUGGGAAAAGUGCAUGCCCAUUACUCCGGGAAUGGAUGCUCUGUGUUUCUAUCUCUGUCCUCCAAUAAAAAUCAGUAGUCAAGACUGAUUCUUUCAUUUCCCAGCUUUGUGCUUACCGCCUCAAUAUUAACAUCAUGUUUUUUUCUGGGUGCAAAACUCAUUAACAAGUCGCAAUUUUGCCUAAUGACUAACACACUUUGCAGUGAGCACUCGGCAUCUCCAGCCACCUGCAGGCACAAGCUGCCCUAAAGGAGGAUUUACAGGAUAAAAAGGAUAAAAAAAUCCACCUCGUUUCACAAUAAAGGGAGCUGCUCCCCAGCCUCAACGUCGGCCGCGCGAGUGGGCAGCUCCUGGGCUGGUAUAAACUGACACAGCCUCAACUGACCGACUCCCAACUGACUCCAGAUAAUAAUCUGGCCCCAGAGUAAAGGCAGGAUUCGACAAGCUUUUCUCACGGGAUAGCUUUUACGCUCUUUUCUUGAGCAUUUACCACCAAUGCUCAGCGUCCAGCUUAAAUCCACUACGUAUGGUGCAUCAGUAAAGGGGGGAAAUUGUCUUUCCUUUAUACCACAGGCAGAUGGCAAGUUGUCUUCUCCCCGCUGCGAACUCUAAUUCUUCACUUUCUAAACUGAACCAGUUCUACUCCCGCUACCCAUGGCAAUAGACUUUUCCAGAAGCAGUGCUC
rnacentral:lncRNA from 1 species